CUGGUGUGUACUGUAGCACAAUAGCCUUUUUCAAUUUCCAAAUUACUUCAUAGGAAACGGGUGCUGACCAGCUGGUACCUUAUGUUUAUCCGGGCCUUGGCUCACUAGACCAGGAACGGCAGGAAACCCAGACAACAGUUUUACACAGUUUUUUGGGUUAUGGAAACUGUCUCGUGUUGACCAGCUGAGAGCGACUGAUGAUGACCUGUUUCUCUUCACCACAUGUGUCGCAUAAAAACAAAACCUUGUCUAAUCACAUCAUUUUUUUGUUUUUUGACAGUGGUGAGCAGAGCAGCUAUGACAAUUGAAUCCAGGCUGGAGUGGGGCAAAUGGUUAUACACUGGAAAGCAUGGCGUGGCCGCACCCUGAUUUAUUCUUUAUUCCUCUAUUUCUCCAUGUAAAUAUGGAGCCAUUGAGCAUCAACUGAAUUCUGCAGCUGGUUAUAGCGUGGGGCUCAACACGGAGAUGAGGAGAUACCAUUGGGAGACCACACAAUACCACACUGGUUCCUGACACAUGGAUCUACUUAUAUAAAAUAAAAAUGGGAAAGCUAUCACGACAGUAGGUGAUAAGCAUCGGCCAGAUGCUUGGAAACACAAGCGAGAGGUAAGAGGGAGAAGGUUGUUGCCGAGUACACACUCUUCCUUCACAGCCAUGUCUUGUUUGUACACCAGGGAGAUGGCAGCAUCUCAUGUUUCACCAUGCUCUUGUCGCCACCACUCUUGUCUGUUGCUGUCAUCCUCAUAUAUCCACUUGUUAAGAACAGCACGUGCAGUUGGACGGCUUUGUAUCCGUCAGGCGCUGCGACAAACAAGCGGAAAAAGGGGGAAUAAAUCACAACUGCAGAGUUCUGCUGUAGGAUCUGCCUACCUCUGGUUAUUUCAUGUGCCAUUCUUUGUCUCACCCGCCGUCCCCCCCCCUCCUCUCUGCCUCUCAAAUAAUGUAACAUGAUUCCAACUUGAUGUCUAUCACAGUCCUCAUUACACCCCUGUUGGCCUUUCGCAGACCCACAUAUCCUCUUGUCUCAGAUGGACCUUGUCUCCCUCCCUCUCUCCCUCCUCCCUCCACUCUUCUCCACCAUUUCCAUUUUUCAUAGAAAGCCUCUCCCGUGAACAGAUGAGGUGGCUCUUGUGGUUUUAAAAAGGUCAAGCUUCUCGUAGUGGCAGAAAUGUGACUUGAUACCUAUAGAACUACAGCAAACUAGCACAGCCGUGUUACAUUUGGACAUCGUGUGGCUGCUGCAAUGAUGACAAGAAUCAUUUGUUCAAAGGAAGUAGCUGCUCAAGUGGGUGAAGAGAAGAAGAAAGCGAUGGAAUUUUAAAGUGAUGCCUGUGAUGCACAAACAGCAGCAUUGAGCGCUUACUUAGGCUUGCAGAAAUAAGCAAAGAAUAAAGGUAACCAUGGGUCACAUAGUUCUAAAUGAAAAGACAGUAAAGUGCGUCAGAAAAAACAAAGUAACAGAUAUAGUGCAUCUAAAGCAACUCCCUCCUCAAACAUGUUCUCUAAACUCUGUAAACUUGCAGUCGAAGGCUCAGCAAUCAAAGUCCUCACUCAGAAGUUUGAAUGGUUUGUGAUGAUGAUUAGUUGACCACAUUGCAAAGCGGUGGAGUGGGUGCAGAUGUGGCUAAUUCCAGUGGUACGCGGAAUGCUGAUUGUGUGGUACAAAGUGCUAGCAGCUAAUCAAUACAGUGAACAUGGCUAGCCCUCCUUUAUGCAUUGGAGGGCUGUGAGCACCUGUGACUGCGGCUCAUUGCAGCUUGAUUAUCAUCAGAGCUAAUCUGUUCCCUUGCAUUUCAAAAACUCUCCAAGUAGAGGGCUUGGGGUGUUGUUAAAUAGAUGAUCACAACUCUGUACACAGCGGGGACAAUUAUUCAGGAGUGAAACUUUAUAUGAUAGAUUGUUAAAGAUGUUCUAUCUUGUGAUGCCGAAGUCUUGCAACAGCCUUGUGAAGAGAAUUCAUUCUUUACUCGGCGGUGAGUAUAUCAGAUAUGUGAUCUCGCACACUACAUUGAUAUAUAUCUAGACAGCUGAUAGGUAGACAGACACAUAAAAAAAAAAACUCUACAAACAUGAAAUAUGAAAAGUAGACUCUGUGUUAUUCACCGAUGAAGACUUUCUGUGUGGAGUUUGAAUGUUCUCCCCUUUUGCAGGUGUGUUUCCUCCAGGUACUCUGACUGUACCUGUGAAAGUGAGAGUGAAUGAUCGUUUGUCUCUGUGUUGGACAUGUCCAGGGUGUGUGUGUGUAGACCUCCUUUUGCCCCAUGUCUGCUUGAAUUGCCUCCAAGCAGGCACCUCCAUCCCUUAACCCUCUUGUGGAGGAUAGAGCGCUAAAACAGGAUACAAAAUAUUAAGAAUUUAGUGUCGGUUUAGAUAGAUUAGAUCACAUUUAGAUUAAAACAAACUUUAUUUAUCCAUCGCUCAAACACUGUAUUGUCAGUUUCAUCGCAAGGAUAAAACUAUAUGGUGACAGUAUCAAAAACUCACCCAUGAUGCUGAUGUGGACUGUUGUGGUGCACGUGAGGGAAUAACGAUUGGAUAUAGCCCAGUGUGUGUGUGUGGAAGAUACUUGGUGAGUUCUGAAAGUAUGUGUUUCUUUAAAUUCAAGCUUUUAUUUGCAUUGUUGGUUGUUGGUUAGAUCUGGAAUUAGUCCCAGAGGGUUAGUCGUCAAAAAGAUCCAGCAAAGUGAAUUGUGUGAGUAACGCAAUACUAUUGGCCAUGAGGGAAGGAAUUCCGUUUGUGACACACACACAAAUGCCCAAAUGUUACCAAUGGUCUGUAAUAAGGAUGGGUUAAACACAGAGGUCAGAGGUCAGAGGUGUUCUUCUCUUCUAUUACCACCUCUCAAUACAGUCAAACAGAGCCUCAAGCAACUAUAGUGUGUCCAUCUUUCCACAGCUGUGUGGAUUUCACAAGCUACUCAGAUACUAUUAACACCAUGCACUGGACUUGUCACAUCAGUUUUAUUGUAUUUGGAUAACAUUAGUUCUUUAUUACUAAAUGCUUUUCUACAGGUUUGUGUAAAACAUCAAUAGUGUUGUUAUAGGCAGACUUGUGAUUCCUCUUUGAAGAAUGUAAAGGAAUACAAUUUGAAUAGCGCAACAAAAAGUGCCUUUAUACAUCAUGUACAAUAAUGUAUUGCCAUCAGACGUUUCCUAUGUGAAGACAGUGCUCACGGCUAUCAUUCCGCACGCUUUGUUUUUUUCCCCCUCUGUUGAAGCACGAGACAGGCCACAUGAAUGGCCUCAUUAAUGCAGAAACGAUUUCUUUCAAAUCAAAAGAAACACCUCACCUAAUGUAAUGACAACCUCUUGCUUCCUUGCCUCUGGUGCUUUUCUUUUACUCAUCACAGGAAAGGAGGUCAUGAAGGUUUUGGGCGUACAGUAAAACACGGUGUAGAGUUAACCAGUGGAUGUGGUGAAGUCGACUUUGAUUGGCAGCGCACUGCUACAGCAAACCAAGCCACACUUAAUCUGUUGUGGAAUCAAGAUAUAUCACAAUUGAUGACAUAUCAACACACUACGUUGCAUUUCUCAGCAAAACAAAAGAUGGUCACCUGUUAUGGGAGUCUGUGCUCAAACCACUGAUGGUUAGCCUCUGUGGCUGGAGUCCUAAUUAAGCCAGCCUGGAAAUAUUGAGAGCCAGCCUCAUAAUGAUGCUAAUUGUUUGCUUCAACCCAGGAAAAGUGCAUCACGGGCAUAAUGGGAUAAUAAGAAGCUCUAAUGCCACCCCCAGAGGGACAGUUAAAGUAAAGGUCCACUGAGUUACAGAGCUAAUACAGCCUGCCUCUUAUUUCUGCAACUGUGUGGACUUUUGGCGGACAGCCGUCAGACUGACAGAGCAAAGUGGCCCACCUGCUCUGUGUUUGUCCGACAGAGGGAGAAGGAUAUAGUGCCUUUGUUUAAGACUGAAGAUUUAAUUAGAAGAUUACUAAUUCAUCCUGACAAAGCUUGUGUUACUUGAGUGCCUCGGGUUUUUGGAUUAAAACAUGUCUUUAAAUAUUUCCUCCCAUGUGCAUGUAAGUGGAUAGUCUGAGAUAAACAAAGUUAUCUAUGAAAGCUACAGUCAGUGAUUCAAGGAGACAUUCAAGACAAACGCAAUAAUACAGUAAGUUCCCAAUAAACACACGUUCACUAUUGUGCAUCAGAGUCUAACUCCUCGGCUCUGCGAGUGCAACGACCGAGUACACCUCCAAAUGUGAGAU